AAUAGAUACCCAGGUAGUCCACGCCGUAAACGAUGAGUGCUAAGUGUUAGAGGGUUUCCGCCCUUUAGUGCUGAAGUUAACGCAUUAAGCACUCCGCCUGGGGAGUACGGUCGCAAGACCGAAACUCAAAGGAAUUGACGGGGGCCCGCACAAGCGGUGGAGCAUGUGGUUUAAUUCGAAGCAACGCGAAGAACCUUACCAGGUCUUGACAUCCUCUGACAACCCUAGAGAUAGGGCUUUCCCUUCGGGGACAGAGUGACAGGUGGUGCAUGGUUGUCGUCAGCUCGUGUCGUGAGAUGUUGGGUUAAGUCCCGCAACGAGCGCAACCCUUGAUCUUAGUUGCCAGCAUUUAGUUGGGCACUCUAAGGUGACUGCCGGUGACAAACCGGAGGAAGGUGGGGAUGACGUCAAAUCAUCAUGCCCCUUAUGACCUGGGCUACACACGUGCUACAAUGGACGGUACAAAGAGUCGCGAGACCGCGAGGUGGAGCUAAUCUCAUAAAACCGUUCUCAGUUCGGAUUGUAGG
rnacentral:rRNA from 1 species